UGAGGAAUAUUGGUCAAUGGGCGAAAGCCUGAACCAGCCAAGUCGCGUGAGGGAAGACGGUCCUAUGGAUUGUAAACCUCUUUUGUCGGGGAGCAAGGAUCCGCACGAGUGCGGAGGCGAGAGUACCCGAAGAAAAAGCAUCGGCUAACUCCGUGCCAGCAGCCGCGGUAAUACGGAGGAUGCGAGCGUUAUCCGGAUUUAUUGGGUUUAAAGGGUGCGCAGGCGGAGGAUCAAGUCAGCGGUAAAAUAGCGGGGCUCAACCCCGUCGAGCCGUUGAAACUGGUUUUCCUAGAGUGAGCGAGAAGUAUGCGGAAUGCGUGGUGUAGCGGUGAAAUGCAUAGAUAUCACGCAGAACUCCGAUUGCGAAGGCAGCAUACCGGCGCUCAACUGGCGCUCAGGCACGAAAGCGUGGGUAUCGAACAGGAUUAGAUACC
rnacentral:rRNA from 1 species